rnacentral:rRNA from 1 species
UAAUACAUGCAAGUCGAACGAACUCUGGUAUUGAUUGGUGCUUGCAUCAUGAUUUACAUUUGAGUGAGUGGCGAACUGGUGAGUAACACGUGGGAAACCUGCCCAGAAGCGGGGGAUAACACCUGGAAACAGAUGCUAAUACCGCAUAACAACUUGGACCGCAUGGUCCGAGUUUGAAAGAUGGCUUCGGCUAUCACUUUUGGAUGGUCCCGCGGCGUAUUAGCUAGAUGGUGAGGUAACGGCUCACCAUGGCAAUGAUACGUAGCCGACCUGAGAGGGUAAUCGGCCACAUUGGGACUGAGACACGGCCCAAACUCCUACGGGAGGCAGCAGUAGGGAAUCUUCCACAAUGGACGAAAGUCUGAUGGAGCAACGCCGCGUGAGUGAAGAAGGGUUUCGGCUCGUAAAACUCUGUUGUUAAAGAAGAACAUAUCUGAGAGUAACUGUUCAGGUAUUGACGGUAUUUAACCAGAAAGCCACGGCUAACUACGUGCCAGCAGCCGCGGUAAUACGUAGGUGGCAAGCGUUGUCCGGAUUUAUUGGGCGUAAAGCGAGCGCAGGCGGUUUUUUAAGUCUGAUGUGAAAGCCUUCGGCUCAACCGAAGAAGUGCAUCGGAAACUGGGAAACUUGAGUGCAGAAGAGGACAGUGGAACUCCAUGUGUAGCGGUGAAAUGCGUAGAUAUAUGGAAGAACACCAGUGGCGAAGGCGGCUGUCUGGUCUGUAACUGACGCUGAGGCUCGAAAGUAUGGGUAGCAAACAGGAUUAGAUACCCUGGUAGUCCAUACCGUAAACGAUGAAUGCUAAGUGUUGGAGGGUUUCCGCCCUUCAGUGCUGCAGCUAACGCAUUAAGCAUUCCGCCUGGGGAGUACGGCCGCAAGGCUGAAACUCAAAGGAAUUGACGGGGGCCCGCACAAGCGGUGGAGCAUGUGGUUUAAUUCGAAGCUACGCGAAGAACCUUACCAGGUCUUGACAUACUAUGCAAAUCUAAGAGAUUAGACGUUCCCUUCGGGGACAUGGAUACAGGUGGUGCAUGGUUGUCGUCAGCUCGUGUCGUGAGAUGUUGGGUUAAGUCCCGCAACGAGCGCAACCCUUAUUAUCAGUUGCCAGCAUUAAGUUGGGCACUCUGGUGAGACUGCCGGUGACAAACCG